CUUGAUACUUUAAGGUAAAAGAUCUGAUUUGCAUUUAGACAAUAAGUUUGUAAAACUUUCAGGUCA
rnacentral:tRNA from 1 species